GUCAAUCUCGAUCUUGCUUCGUCUUUAUGAACCAAUAAAUGGUCAGAUUAAUAUUGAUGGUAUCCCUAUCAGAGAGUUGGAUAUCAGGUGGCUGAGAGGGAAAGUUGGAUUUGUGUUGCAGACAGGAACCAAAUCUAUUUCACAUGACCAUCAAGUCAAACAUUAAAUAUGGUUGCUCCGAUGAUAUUAAGGAGGAAGAUAUAAAAUCGGCUGCAAAGCUAGCUUAUGCUCAUAACUUCAUCUCAUCUCUUCCUGACGGAUAUGAUAC